AUGAUAUGUCGCUAUUGGUGGCCACAGCAGAAGGGCGAGGAGGAGAUGCAUUGGGUAGGACGGGAGAAUAUGAAGCUUUCAAAGAAAGAUGAUGCUCUGAGCUUCCCGGACCUGUACUCAUUCAAUGUAUCCAUGCUCGCACAACAGGCUUGGCGGCUAAUACAGGCUCCUGAAUCUCUAUGCGCCCGAGUGUUGCAAGCCAAGUACAUUCCAGAUGGUAACCUGCUCAAUGCGGUUCCAGUGGUUAAUAUGAGUUAUACUUGGAGGAGCGUCUUGCGGGACCUCGAGAUUGUCAAAGAAGAAUAUAUAUGGAUGAUAGGUUCAGAUCGGCUUAUCAGGUGCAUACAGAUAUGGUCAAAAGACAAGCUACUAGGAAGACGAGAGAGAGCUCAGGUGGCAAUGAAUGGCGACGGGCUGUGUGGAACGAUCAGCAGCGAACGACCUACUGUUUGUGUGAUCCUCUCGCUCUUUUCCGCCAGCUUGGUGGUCACCACACCACACCAAGUGACCCAGUGGUGGCUUGGCCUUGAGGAGGUGCGACGCUACACACUGGUGGUCCGCCCUCGUCUCAGGCACCAGAUCCUAUGGUGGACUGACCCGUACAUAUGUUCGCCUCCGCAUCUUUUAGCUUCAGAUCAUGAAGGACUUCACCCGUUUGGGUGUUGA
rnacentral:rRNA from 1 species